AACAGCUGCGGUAUUUUAACUGUACUAAGGUAGCAUAAUAAUUUGCCUUAUAAUUUGAGGCUAGAAUGAAUGGUUUGACGAAGGUUAAUCUGUCUCUAUUUUACUUUUUAGAAGUUAAUUUUCAUAGUGAAAAAGCUUGAAUUUUUUAAAGGGACGAGAAGACCCUAUUGAGCUUAUAAUUUUAUUAUUGUCAGUGUUGUUAAUUUUUAUUGGCAUUAUAUGAAUUUUAAUUGGGGUGAUUAAGGAAUAAGGUUUAUAUAUUUCAGUAACUUCCUUAGUAAUAAAUAAAUUGUUAGAUAAAGUAACCAAUANNUUAUUAGAUGUAUUGCUUAUACUAUAGUUACCAUAGGGAUAACAGCGUAAUUUAUUUAGAGAGUUCUUAUUGAAAAAUAAGAUUGCGACCUCGAUGUUGGAUUAAAGUAACCUUAAGGUGCAGAAGCUUUAUAAGGUAAAUCUGUUCGAUUUUUAAAACUUUACGUGAUCUGAGUUCA
rnacentral:rRNA from 1 species